CAGUCCCAGCCUCUGUCCUCCCUGUGUAACCUGGGGACACACAGUGCCAGCCUCUGUCCUCCCUGUGUAACCUGGGGACACACCUCUGUCCUCCCUGUGUAACCUGGGGACACACAGUGUUGACCUCUGUCCUCCCUGUGUAACUUGGGGACACAGUGUUAACCUCUGUCCUCCCUGUGUAACCUGGGGACACACAUUGUUGACCUCUGUCCUCCCUGUAUAACCUGGGGACACAGUGUUAACCUCUGUCCUCCAUGUGUGUAACUUGGGGACAGACAUUGUUAACCUCUGUCCUCCAUGUGUGUAACCGGGGGACAGACAGUAUCACCCUCUGUCCUCCCUGUGUGUAACCUGGGGAUAGACA
rnacentral:lncRNA from 1 species